GACAGAGGGUGCAAACGUUGCUCGGAAUUACUGGGCGUAAAGGGCGUGUAGGCGGGCAGGUAAGUCGGGCGUGAAAUCCCUGGGCUCAACCCAGGAACUGCACUCGAAACUACUUGUCUUGAGUACCGGAGAGGAAAGCGGAAUUCCUGGUGUAGAGGUGAAAUUCGUAGAUAUCAGGAGGAACACCAGUGGCGAAGGCGGCUACCUGGCCCACUCUUGACGCUGAGGCGCGAAAGCUAGGGGAGCAAACGGG
rnacentral:rRNA from 1 species